rnacentral:tRNA from 1 species
GGGCUCGUAAUUCAACCUGGUAGAAUACGCCCUUGGCUUGGGUGAGAUUCGGGUUCAAAUCCCGGCGAGUCCA